rnacentral:sRNA from 1 species
GCUUAUAUGUUUCUCAGAUUAUCGACCUCUCGGUUCUUUGCAUAAAAGCAUACAUAGGGUCGUAAGUAGUGACGACUAGGUAAAGAAAAAGUUUGCUAAAAGUGAUAUAUGUAAAAAUAAUUUUUUUGUUAAAAGUGAUAUAUGUGCAAAAUAUGAUUUUAGACUUGAUAUUGAAGAGUUUACAAAGCGGGUGGUGGGAGAAGCCACUUGGAUCCUUGGAUGUAGCCGAGGGAUAGGAAACGGUUAGCUUCUUUGUCGUCAAUGUCUUGUGUGAAUGGUACUCUCUUGGCUUUGUGUGAUCCUGGUCCUGAACACUUGUACUCUCCGUAGAACACGGUUCUGUCAUUUUUGAUAUAAUCAGCAUAAAGGACAUGGACCGAUUGGGUGAUAUUCAUACGAUUUUUUAUGUAAUGUGAAAAGUGGGACUUACUUGUCAUGUGCGGGAGUCUUGUUUUCUUGCCAUCCGGUGGGGUUGACAACGCUGGUCAUCUCGGUGUAGGCAUAAACAACCUUAGGGUGGCUCAUCCAUGCUCUUCCCAAAUAAAUUCCUCCACCGGUUCCAGUCACCUUGCAGUGCACGAAAGAGUAUCCACUCUUCUCUUCUGCGCUCUUUCCUGCAUGCGCUGCUAUCACUCUAAUACCGUCUCCAACCACGUGCAAUUGUGUUCCCUUUUGAACUCAAACAUGCAUUAGAGAUCUCGCACUUUAUGUAUUAAGAAAUAAGUAUGAGAUGUUACGUACCAAGUACAUAGAGGUUCCACUUCCGAAGAUGAAAUCGAAUGUUCCUUCAACGUAACAAUCCUUGAAGAAAUGGUUUCCUGUAUCGUCACAGAUUGUGUCUUGGAAACCGUAGAAUUUGCAGUUGUAGAAAGCAGCAAAAUUUCCGGAGAUUCUCAUGGAUAAAGCUUGUGCUCCCUUAGUUUUACCAUCUGGUGCCGGCGCAGUGUUCUACAUAUGCAAAAAAAUAAAUCACUCGGCCAUGAAAUAGUCGACUAGUCACAUAGAUGUAUGAUAUAUAGUAGGAUCACUUACCUUAACGACGAUGUUAACGGCCAUGAAAUAGUCGGAUAAGAUAAUGAGAGAGGCGCUAUCAACGGUUCCAUACUUGGCGGCGGUACCGUCAUAGGUGAUAACAGGCAUGGCAUUGGGUUGUCCCAUCAAUGUAAUGAAGGGUUUGUUCCUGUCGAUAGUGACCUUCUCUUUGUAUUCACCAGGAGCCAUCUUUAUGAUCACCCGCUUUGUGUUCCCUGCAGGAACGCUCUUUAUUGCGUCCGUUAGUGUUUUGAAUUCACCACCCUUUGGAUUCACCUGCAAUAAUUUUUACAUGUUUUUCAAAAAAAUUGUAUCAAAAUCUAUUGGUACAAAGGAUGAGUUUAAGACAAUAAGUGUGAAUAGUACGUUGAUGAUACGUGGAGCAGCCUCAGCAGCUACAAGAGCAGGAUCUAAGCCUUUACGUUGAG